UGCCUAACACAUGCAAGUCGAACGGUAACAGGUCUUCGGAUGCUGACGAGUGGCGCACGGGUGAGUAACGCGUGGAUAUCUGCCUAUGAGUGGGGGACAACUUUCGGAAACGAAAGCUAAUACCGCAUAAUCUCUACGGAGCAAAGCAGGGGACCUUUCGGGGCCUUGUGCUUAUAGAUGAGUCCGCGUCAGAUUAGCUAGUUGGUGGGGUAAGAGCCUACCAAGGCGAUGAUCUGUAGCUGGUUUGAGAGGAUGAUCAGUCACACUGGAACUGAGACACGGUCCAGACUCCUACGGGAGGCAGCAGUGGGGAAUUUUGCACAAUGGGCGCAAGCCUGAUGCAGCGAUGCCGCGUGUGGGAAGAAGGCCUUUGGGUUGUAAACCACUUUCAAUUGGGAAGAAGGGAUGAGAAUUAAUAAUUCUCUGACUUGACGGUACCUUUAGAAGAAGCACCGGCUAAUUUCGUGCCAGCAGCCGCGGUAAUACGAAAGGUGCAAGCGUUGUUCGGAUUUACUGGGCGUAAAGAGAUCGUAGGUGGUUUGUUAAGUUGGAUGUGAAAUCCCGGGGCUCAACCUCGGAACUGCAUCCAAAACUGGCAGACUUGAGUUCGGGAGGGGUAAGCGGAAUUCCGUGUGUAGCAGUGAAAUGCGUAGAUAUACGGAGGAACACCUGAGGCGAAGGCGGCUUACUGGACCGAUACUGACACUGAGGAUCGAAAGCGUGGGUAGCAAACAGGAUUAGAUACCCUGGUAGUCCACGCCCUAAACGAUGUCAACUAGCCGUUGCGGGUAUCGACCCCUGCAGUGGCGCAGCUAACGCGAUAAGUUGACCGCCUGGGGAGUAC
rnacentral:rRNA from 1 species